AUACGGAGGGUGCAAGCGUUAAUGGGAAUUACUGGGCGUAAAGCGCGCGUAGGCGGUUUGGUAAGUCGGAUGGGAAAGCCCCGGGCUCAACCUGGGAAUUGCAUUCGAUACUGCCAGACUAGAGUAUGGUAGAGGGAAGUGGAAUUCCGGGUGUAGCGGUGAAAUGCGUAGAUAUCCGGAGGAACACCAGUGGCGAAGGCGACUUCCUGGACCAAUACUGACGCUGAGGUGCGAAAGCGUGGGGAGCAAACAGGAUUAGAAACCCUAGUAGUCC
rnacentral:rRNA from 1 species